AGCGAACGCUGGCUGCAGGCCUAACACAUGCAAGUCGAACGAAGUCUUCGGACUUAGUGGCGGACGGGUGAGUAACACGUGGGAACGUGCCUUUAGGUUCGGAAUAACUCAGGGAAACUUGUGCUAAUACCGCAUGCGCCCUUCGGGGGGAAGAUUUAUCGCCUUUAGAUCGGCCCGCGUCUGAUUAGCUAGUUGGUGGGGUAUAGUCUGACCAAGGCUACGUUCAGUAGCUGGUCUGAGAGGAUGACCAGCCACAUUGGGACUGAGACGCGGCCCAAACUCCUACGGGAGGCAGCAGUGGAGAAUCUUGCGCAAUGGGCGAAAGCCUGACGCAGCCAUGCCGCGUGGAUGAUGAAGGUCUUAGGAUUGUAAAAUCCUUUCACCGGUGAAGAUAAUGACUGUAGCCGGAGAAGAAGCCCCGGCUAACUCCGUGCCAGCAGCCGCCGUAAGAC
rnacentral:rRNA from 1 species